rnacentral:misc_RNA from 1 species
UGAUCGGUUCAGUGGGCCGCUCUUUGUGUAUUUUUGUAGGUAAUGCUGCCUGAUUACAUGAAAUCUCGGCGUACGAGGUACUUUCGCCCGAGAAGAAUUCUGGAAGCUGUGAACAUCAUGAAGACUGUGAAAGCGUAGCGCUCGGUGAGUAAACACAUCAUUCUUUCUUGUGCUUAGUGACUGAGCAGUAGCAUCUGAACAUCUGCGGUGAUCGUAUGGUGUUCACUUUUGCUUUUAUUUGCAUAGGAUACGGAAGAAUCGAUGAAGGUUGGAAGGCAUCUCAACAGAUAGCUGGAAGACGGGAGGCGGGAAGCUGGGCGGCCUGGAGGGCCGCGUGCUCGCCGUGCUUGGACGAACCGGCCCAGCUUCCGCUCCUGUGGAGUUUUUCCGCGACGACUCCGAGGACACCUCCAGUGAGGAGGAGCCUACACCUCGGCCCCCUGCCCCACCAGCAGCUGCCCGCGUUUCUGUAGGGACGGAGCCGGGGACAAGUGGCACUGCACGUAAGGCACUUCAGCAGCUAUUGCAAUACGAAUACAUCACCCAAAGCAACAAAGCAGUAUCUGUCAAGACCUUUCAAACAGAAAUUGUGUAUUUAUAUUAUUUACAUGGCAAAGAAAAAGUGCCUGCCUAAAUGUCGCUGCAAAAUGGAACAAUAAUCUGUUUGACUAUUAACACCAUUUGUAAUGCAGCUUGUGCAGCAUACAAGCUGAAAGUACUUUCAGUGUAGUAUUUUAUGAUGGUGUUGUGCCUUUUUGUUUAUGCAAAUUUACUAUUCAUUUUGUGAACGGUGUGUUGCUGGAAUUAUUUUUCUGGGCUUCCACCUGAUAAUGAACCAGUAAAAUGUCUACGCAGGACGGAGCGCAAUGUUUUUUUAACCUGUUUACUGAUUUUAUUUUUACGGACCAUCAGCUCGGCAGCAGCCCCGCAGGCCACCCCGCCAACAGCUGCUGGAGGACGCGGCCUGCAGUACAGCCGCCGAGUAUGCACGGCAGGGGCAGCAAGCCGAGGCGGCAAAUGCGGAGGCCGCGAACUUCCAUCAGCUGUUGCUGCAGCAAAAUAGGCAGCAUCACCAGCAGCUGGUGGAAGAGCAGAGGGCGACCCGGCAGGUCCUACAGCAGCUGGUAGCCGAGAUGCGUGGUUCGCGAGAGGCCACUAGUCUCAUCGCAACCACGCUGCGCCAGCUGCUGGCUGCCCUCCCUCACCUCCGCGAGCCGCCUCAGCCAUGAGGGACAGCUUUUUUUUUUCCCCAUAUCAUCCUUUAGUGCUGUGUAGGUACAAGUGUUGCCUAUCUUUCCGUUCAAAUCACCGCUGCAGCAUUUGGUGGUGGUGCCCAUACAUCCUCGCAAGCUGUUGUGCCGCCAAGUUGUAGCCAGUCUUGUGAACUGAUGUGCAGGUCAUGCGUGACCAUGGCAGCGAAGACUGAUAGUGCUGUGAUGUCACUUGAAACACGAAUCCAUGUUUUUUUUUGUAUGUAGCACUAAAGGAUGAUAUAGCUGUUUUCCGUACAUUUCUGUCCCUAAUCAUAUUUUUCUUUGCAAGGUAAUUUCUCUUAUGUGUAUUUUCAUUUGUAGUGCAAGUUUGUCCAAGUGAGGCAUUAUAUAACUUAUAUGUAGAAUUUUCGCGUUUCUGUUCCUAACCGUAUUUUUUCCCCAGUUCAUUUCUUUUCGUGUGUAUUUUUAUUUGACCAAGUGAGACGG